GUUGCAGUCUGAUGCGACCCCGUGAAUCUCCACUCUGACGAAAGGGUCCAGAGCCUUGCCACUCCUGGGAACAGAGCCUUGGGUUGCAGACUGUCGUGUCCUUGGGCAAGACCCUCUACCCACCUGUUACCAGUGCCACCUACACUGGUUUAAAUGUAGCUGAAAGUGUCACGGCGGGGUUGCAGCUUACUGCGCAGUUCGUUCUCCCCGGGAUGCAAACGGACGACUCCGGACAGGACUUGCAGCCAUCCAUCCAUCCAUCCAUCCAUCAAUGAUCCUCCUCCCACAAAGCUAUGCCUUUUAAAGGGUUUAGUCACCCUCAAUCCACUUGCUAUCUGCUGAGUUCAGCAAUCGCGGUACGUGAGUGUGAGCCAUCCGACCAACAAAGCACUGAUUAAUAGUCUGCUCUGAAAUGAGAUGACUUGAAAGAGGACGGCGGUUUUGUGGUGGUGGGUGGGUGGCGAAGAGAAAGGGAGACGUUUCACUUCCUUUGCAGACUGAUGCACACUUGUUUGGUCUCACCUGUAGUUCUUACAAAUGUUC